AGGCAUUCACUAUGAGACCAAAAGGAGAUGGAAUGCUAACCACGCAGUCCUGGUUGUGGGUUAUGGAGAUUCUGCUGGGAAAAAAUUCUGGAUUUUGAAAAACAGCUACGGAGAGUGCUGGGGUGAAGGUGGAUAUUUGCGGCUGGCAAAGGAUGAGCAAAACCAAUGUGGGAUAGCCGACCAUGGUGUGUAUCCUGUCGUCUGAUACCAGACUGUGAAGCAAAGAAGGACAAAUAAAGGGCAUGAAUGUGCACGCUGCAUAAGAACAAAGUACUGGAUAAACCCAUUCUUCUGUAGUGCAAGUACUUGAUCAAUGAAUUUGAUGUUCUGGAAAUUAAGUACCAUUUAAGCCACUUAUGUAGAAGAUCAGAUAACGUGAGAUAAUGUACUUGCACCAAUCGGCUUCAGUUGUGAAUGCACUAGCUUUCUAAGCAGUGCCCACUGUCGCAUUCACUGUACCCUUCUUGUCACUCUUUUGCUUGUUAUAUUGCCAUGUGCUCUGGAAUGCAUUGGAUUGCAUGGUAAAGUGUGCUCUCUCUGUCUGCUGAAAACCUAAAAAGCAAUUCGCUUCAAAUGACAUUUUACAUGUUUUUAAACGCCCAAUUAUGUUUCUAUGAUGAUUGCAACUAUGCUGAGUGUUUCUUAGAGCAAUUACUCAAAUACAGAAUAAAAAAAUUUAAAAAGUUUAAGGAGCUACUCUCAGUUCUAGGUGCUUGCUAUAGACAUCAUGUUAGCUGGAUCAGCCAGUGUCUUUAAAUUAGUACGCGACAGCACCAUCUAGUGCACAGCUAGUGUACUGCCAUCAUUAAUAAAGAAUCCAGGUGACUUACUGUUACUUCUAUAAAGACCGGCUGAUCUAGCCUGUGUUACACAUCAGGAAACCAGAACUGAAAGGCAGCUCCUGAACUCAGGUGAAAGCAAAUACAUAAAACGCAGUAUCUGAGUAAUUGCAACACGUGUCCCUGAGAAUGAUUGUAAAUAUCUUAAAAAGCAGCAGUGUGGAGUAGUGGUUAGGGCUCUGGACUCUUGACCGUAGGGUUGUGGGUUCAAUCCCUGGUAGGGGACACUGCUGCUGUACCCUUGAGCAAGGUACUUUACCUAGAUUGCUCCAGUAAAAAUCCAACUGUAUAAAUGGGUAAUUGUAUGUAAAAAUAAUGUGAUAUCUUGUAACAAUUGUAAGUCGCCCUGGAUAAGGGCGUCUGCUAAGAAAUAAAUAAUAAUAAUAAUAAUAAUAAAAACAUAAGGGGGCAGUAAAUGCUCACCUAUGGACAGAUUUCUUUGCACCCCACACCUGCUCAGUCUAGAGGGUAGGAUCACAUCCAAACGCUGUACAGAAUCUGUGUUGGCUACGUGUCAAACAGGAGCCAACAUGAACUACUGUGUUUUCCCCUUUCAGACGGUUAAUUCCCAAAUACAAUCUUGCGUAUCAGUAUUGUAGUAUUAGACACCAAAGUCAGAGCAGUGCAGCUUGUUCCAGCCUCUUACCACUUACACUCUCCCAUUGAAAUAGUAUAGCUAGUUAACCUCCUGCAAAGUGAGCCUAAAUAUCUUCAUAUAAACAAGACGAGUGUGAUUUGGGGUUUGUGGAACAGGCUGAAACGUAUUGAUCAUGCCCUGUUCUUCUGUAACUCUUGUCUUAUAGAGCAUUGUGAAACCUUUCUGUUUACCACACAGGCUUGGUUUAUACACUGAGUUUCAAUUAAUCAAACUCUUACAUUGUAAAGCGGGAGGAUAAAUCCUCUAAUUCUGAGUGCAGUGUUAAUGUGCAGGAAAUUCAAUGUUAAUUAUGAUGCGCUUUCUGUAUUUCUUUCAAUAAAGCUAUUAGCAUUC